rnacentral:rRNA from 1 species
UAUACCCUGGUAGUCCACGCUGUAAACGAUGUCGACUUGGAGGUUGUUCCCUUGAGGAGUGGCUUCCGGAGCUAACGCGUUAAGUCGACCGCCUGGGGAGUACGGCCGCAAGGUUAAAACUCAAAUGAAUUGACGGGGGCCCGCACAAGCGGUGGAGCAUGUGGUUUAAUUCGAUGCAACGCGAAGAACCUUACCUACUCUUGACAUCCAGAGAACUUAGCAGAGAUGCUUUGGUGCCUUCGGGAACUCUGAGACAGGUGCUGCAUGGCUGUCGUCAGCUCGUGUUGUGAAAUGUUGGGUUAAGUCCCGCAACGAGCGCAACCCUUAUCCUUUGUUGCCAGCGGUUAGGCCGGGAACUCAAAGGAGACUGCCAGUGAUAAACUGGAGGAAGGUGGGGAUGACGUCAAGUCAUCAUGGCCCUUACGAGUAGGGCUACACACGUGCUACAAUGGCAUAUACAAAGAGAAGCGACCUCGCGAGAGCAAGCGGACCUCAUAAAGUAUGUCGUAGUCCGGAUCGGAGUCUGCAACUCGACUCCGUGAAGUCGGAAUCGCUAGUAAUCGUGGAUCAGAAUGCCACGGUGAAUACGUUCCCGGGCCUUGUACACACCGCCCGUCACACCAUGGGAGUGGGUUGCAAAAGAAGUAGGUAGCUUAACCUUCGGACCGCGCUCU